rnacentral:rRNA from 1 species
GAUGAACGCUGGCGGCGUGCCUAAUACAUGCAAGUCGAGCGCUCAGACGAGGAGUUUGCUCUCCUGACGUUUGCCGCGGGCGGGUGUGUAACAUGUGGAAAAUCUCCCUAUACGACUGGGAUAACUUCGGGAAACUGGCGCAAAUCCCGGAUCAUCUAUUGAUCCGCAUGGUUUAAUAGUGAAAGACGGCUUUGCCGCUACCUAUUGAUGGUUCCGUGUCGUAUUUGCUUGUUGGUAAGGUAACGGCUUACCAAGGCAACGAUGCGCAGCCGACCUGAGAGGGUGAUCGGCCACACUGGAACGGAGACACGGUCCGGACUCCUACGGAGGGCAGCGGUGGGGAAUCUUGCGAAAGGAGCGAAGGCCGGACGGGGCAACGCCGCGGAAGUGAGGAAGGUCUUCGGAUCGUAAGACUCUGUUAUAAAGGAGGAACAAAUGGGUAAGUGACUAUGCACGUCGUGACGGUACCUUAUCAGAAAGCCACGGCUAACUACGUG